GGGCCUGUAGCUCAGUCGGUUAGAGCAGGAGACUCAUAAUCUCUUGGUCCCUGGUUCAAGUCCAGGCGGGCCCA
rnacentral:tRNA from 1 species